rnacentral:lncRNA from 1 species
UCGCUCUCUCUCUCUCUUUCUUUCUAUCUUUCUUUGUCUCCCCCCUUUCUCUCUCUCUCUUUAUCUCUUUCUUUAUUUGUCUCUCACUCUCUCUGACUCUCUCUCUGUCUCACUCUCUCUCUCUGUUUCUCUCGCUCUCUUUCUCUCUCUCUCCCUUUCCCGCUCUCUUUCCCUCUCUNUUUCUUUCCCACUCUCUCUUUCCCUCUCUCCCUCACUCGCUCNUUCUCUAUUUCUUUCUGUCAAUCUCUCUCUCUUUCUUUCUCUCCCUUUCCCUUUGUUUCUUUUUGUCUCUUGUUCUUUCUUUUUCUCUCUCUUUCUCCCACUCUUUCUUUCUCUCUGUCUCUCUUUCCUUCAUUGUCUCCCUCUCUCCCUAUUUCUCUCCCUCUUUCUCUCUCUUUUUCUCUCUCUCUCACUCUCUCCCUUUUUUCUUUCUAUCUUUCUUUGUCUCUCUUUCUCUCUCUUUCUCUCUCUCUCUCUCUUUCUUUCUUUCUCUCUCUCAUUCUUUUUUCCUAUCUUUCUUUCUCCCUCUCUCUCUCUCUUUCUUUCGUUCUUUCUCACUCCCCCUCUUUCCCUCUCCUUCUCUCUCUUUCUUUCUUUCUCUCUCUCACUCUCUCUCCCUUUCUUUCUCUCUCUCUUUCUUUGUCUCUCACUCUCUCUGACUCUCUCUUUUUCUCGCUCUCUCUCCUUUCUUUCUUAGAGUGAGAGCGAAAGAGGAACACAGACAGAAAGUCUUAGAGAGAGAGAGAGAAAGAAAGAGAGAGAGAGAAAUAGAGGGAAACAGAGAAAGAAGGAAACAGAGAGAGAGAGAGAAAGUUUAUCUCUGUGUGUCUUUCCCUCUCUCUCUCUCUCUUUCUCUCUCUCGCUCUGCCUUUCUCUCUCUCUUUCUUUCUUUCUUUCUAUCUCUCUCUUUCUCUCUCUCUUGCUUUCUCUCUUGAGUGAGAGGUGAGGGGUCAGGUCGGGGGUCGGGGCCCUGCUUGGGNNNNNNNNNNNNNNNNNNNNNNNNNN